rnacentral:rRNA from 1 species
UACGUAGGGUGCAAGCGUUGUCCGGAAUUAUUGGGCGUAAAGAGCUCGUAGGCGGUUUGUCGCGUCUGCUGUGAAAACCUAGGGCUUAACCCCGGGCGUGCAGUGGAUACGGGCCGGCUGGAGGCAGGCAGGGGAGAAUGGAAUUCCCGGUGUAGCGGUGAAAUGCGCAGAUAUCGGGAGGAACACCAAUGGCGAAGGCAGCUCGCUGGGACGGUACUGACGCUGAGACGCGAAAGCGUGGGGAGCAAACAGG